rnacentral:rRNA from 1 species
UACAGAGGGUGCAAGCGUUAAUCGGAAUGACUGGGCGUAAAGCGCACGUAGGUGGUUUUUUAAGUUGGAUGUGAAAUCCCUGGGCUCAACCUAGGAAUGGCGUCCAAAACUGGAAGACUCGAGUACAGUAGAGGGGGGUAGAAUUUCCGGUGUAGCGGUGAAAUGCGUAGAGAUCGGAAGGAAUACCAGUGGCGAAGGCGGCCCCCUGGACUGAUACUGACACUGAGGUGCGAAAGCGUGGGUAGCGAACAGG